GAUGAACGCUGACAGAAUGCUUAACACAUGCAAGUCUUUGGCGAAUCUGUGCUUGCACAGGCUAGCCAAGGCGGACGGGUGAGUAACGCGUAAAGAACUUGCCCUGCAGACAGGGAUAACAGACGGAAACGACUGAUAACACCUGAUACAGUUGCCGGCACGCAUGUGCCUGGCAAUGAAAAGAGAUGCUGCAGGGGAGCUUUGCGUCCUAUUAGCUUGUUGGUGAGGUGACGGCUCACCAAGGCGAUGAUAGGUAGCCGGCCUGAGAGGGUGAACGGCCACAAGGGGACUGAGAUACGGCCCUUACUCCUACGGGAGGCAGCAGUGGGGAAUAUUGGACAAUGGGGGCAACCCUGAUCCAGCAAUUCUGUGUGCACGAAGAAGGUUUUCGGAUUGUAAAGUGCUUUCAGCAGGGAAGAAGAAAGUGACGGUACCUGCAGAAGAAGCGACGGCUAAAUACGUG
rnacentral:rRNA from 1 species